GGCCUCAAAUCAGGUAGGACUACCCGCUGAACUUAAGCAUAUC
rnacentral:rRNA from 1 species